UACAGAGGUCCCGAGCGUUGUUCGGAUUCACUGGGCGUAAAGGGUGCGUAGGCGGUUCUGAAAGUCUGAUGUGAAAUCUCCAGGCCCAACCUGGAAACUGCAUUAGAAACCACAGGGCUAGAGGCUUGGAGGGGGAACUGGAAUUCUCGGUGUAGCAGUGAAAUGCGUAGAGAUCGAGAGGAACACCAGUGGCGAAGGCGAGUUCCUGGACAAGUCCUGACGCUGAGGCACGAAAGCCAGGGGAGCAAACAGG
rnacentral:rRNA from 1 species